rnacentral:rRNA from 1 species
GACGAACGCUGGCGGCGUGCUUAACACAUGCAAGUCGAACGGAAAGGCCUGCUUUCCCUUGUGGAUUGCGGGUACUCGAGUGGCGAACGGGUGAGUAACACGUGAGUGAUCUGCCCCCAACUUGGGUAUAAGCCUGGGAAACUGGGUCUAAUUCCCGAUAGGACUGCAGGGUGGUGCCUGUGGUGGAAAACGAUUUUCUAGUGGUUGGGGAUGAGCUCGCGGCCUAUCAGCUUGUUGGUGGGGUAAUGGCCUACCAAGGCGGCGACGGGUAGCCGGCCUGAGAGGGUGGACGGCCACAUUGGGACUGAGAUACGGCCCAGACUCCUACGGGAGGAAGCAGUGGGGAAUAUGGCACAAUGGGCGGAAGCCUGAUGCAGCGACGCCGCGUGGGGGAUGACGGCCUUGGGGUUGUAAACUCCUUUCGACCGCGAGGAAGCCACCUGGUUGGAAGGGUGGUGACGGUAGUGGUAGAAGAAGCACCGGCUAACUAC